ACAGAAGUUGCGGGUGUUCACUUUUCUGAAGGUCCGUUCAUCUGCUCACGACAGGAAUGUAUCUUCCUGCUAACACAGGUUUGAAUCAGCGCUGUUGCAGCCAUCCUUCGGAACCACAAGGGUAAAAAUGGUAAAGAAACAGUAGAAGUAAUGUAUAGUUCUUGAUUUCAGAGUUUACAGUCUGAAACUUUUGAGCUGUAAUGCCAUGACUGAGUUUCUGCUGCAGUGUAGAAGGCUGAAGACACAGGGAGCCAAUUUGGAGCAACGCAUAAUUUGGAUGCCUCCUCCGUAUCAAGCAACAUCCCCUGGAAACCAAAGCUCCCUGCAGAGUGCCUGCUGGUAGUCCAUGCAUAUUUCAUGAAAUCAGAAGCUGAUUAACUGAAUAGGUGCGAAUAGUUGCAUUCAACAAAACAAUUUCUAAUAUAGAGAAACAUCCCUUUUUAGUUAAAAUCCAGGUGGAAUAAAGUUCAUAAGACAUGGCUACACACUCCAUGAUCUACGCUUUUCAGACAUACAAAAUGCCUUAAACUGCUGUAACUGCCCCACAUGUCGAGGGUUUGGGUUGGUUGGGUGGUUUUUCAGUUGUUUCCUAUGUUUUAUGUAGUUCUGGGUUUCACUUGUGUUCUGAUUUUGGAUUCUUGCGUUUAGUCUUUAAUGUGUGGGGUUUUGUAGUCUAGUUUAUUCUUUUGUUCAUUCGCAUGUUUUAUUGACUUAGUUUCUGUCUUGUUCCUUAUCUUAGUUUUAGUCCUGCAUUUUAGUUCUGUUUUAUUCUUCCUGGUCCCUUGUCAUUUUGUUCUGGUUUUUGUCCACUUGUCAGUGUGUCUUGUCCAUGUCAUCUGGUUCCAUAUUUUGUGAGUGGUUGGUUCUUGUGUCCAGUUUCUAUUUGUUUGUAUGCCCUGUCUGUUCUCUCCUCGUCUAUGUCUGUGUCUUAGUCCUUAGUUCCAUGUAUCCAUGUUUGUGUUGUCCUGUUUCCAGUUCCCUGCCCCGGUUUUGUUCGGCAUGCAGUUGUUUUUCUGUUUUACUUUGGUAACUCUGUCCUUGUGUGUUCCCAUAUGCUUUACUUCCUGUUUUAGUUUGUAGUUUCUGCUCCUAGUGUGUGUUGUCAUGUUUUACUUCCGGUGCUUGUCUCUGAUUGUUUAAGUGGGUUCACCUGUGUCUAAUUAGUUUCUCCCUCACCUGGGUAUAUAGUGAUUGUCUGUCUUUCACUCCUUGCCAGUUCAUUGUUUUCAUGUGGUUCUAGUCUAGUGAUUUCCAUGCCAGAGUUCUCCAGUGUUCUUUCUAGGUUUCUCCAGUGCCUCCUGUGUUUUUUGUGGAUUACUUUGGAUUUACUUUCAGUUGAAUUACUCACCGGUUGUGUUUUGGACUGCUUACCACCUGUAAGUUUCACCAUGUGCUGCAAUAAACCUCACUCUUUCACCAGUACCUGCUCAGUGUCUGCAUUUUGGGUCCAAACCUCUAUUCCCGGCGUUCAGCCAGGUGGCUGAGCUGACACCACAUACAUAGUUGGUAUGAUAUGCUGAAGAAAUAAAACCCUCGUGCUUCGUGUUGACUACUGGAAGACCUGGCCACACACUCCAUCAUCUACGCUUUUCAGACAUACGAAAUUCCUUAAACUUGCUUUAGAAAAUGAUUCACAGUCAGGUUUUAUACUCCAUUUUCACACAGUGCCAAAACAGGAGUCCAAGAUUAGUCAAGUAAUUAUUAUUCUUAAAAAAACAAUAGUAAUCAAAUAAAAUUACCACAAAGUAAUUGCAUAGUAAUAGAAAUACUAACUGGCCACAUGGUGCAGGGCCCCUUGAGGGUGUGGGUCAUUGGGCCAAUACCUGCUUACCCCAGAUGAUAAUCCAUUAUGGAGCUAUUGUUUUGCUUUAAUGGCCUUAAAAGGUAGCGUAGCAGAAGUUAUCUCAUUGCACUUUUCUAGACCGAACUCUUUGUAAUGUUAUUAACAAAGGCCCAAUUCCCAUCAUGAGCAAGCGCUUGGUGACAGUGGCAAGGAAAAACUCCCUUUUAGCAGGUAGAAGCAGGCCUACGCAAGAUCCACACAGAAAAGCCAAACAACAGACAAGCAUGACACCACAUGACAAGUGGUUUUUAAUGUAACAUUCAAAGAUGUUCUUGAUGCAAACAUUUUUAAAUGUGUGGAUUUUCCAGGACAUUAAAUGUAUUUCACUAUUUAUGUGUGAAUCAGAAUUUAAUUUGUGAACCUUAUGUGUUAAAUUUGUGGCCUUGUUUUACAUUUAUAUACAUAGAUUGAUAAGUGGUCUUGUGGAGAGCUCUUUACAAAGAAAUCUCGAAAUGUGCAUUCAUUAUUAUUGAGACUAAAAGUCUGGCAUCCCGUUGACUGUCGGCCCAGGCAGCAGUCAACGCGUGUCAAAGCCCUGCUCUUUGCUCACUCUGCUCUAUCCAAACAUAGUGUGCUGCCAAACGAGACACGUUAGCCAAUAACUAAGAUAAGCUGACACACUGACAAAUACAGAUGAGGACUUAUGACCCUUGUUUGCUUUUUUUUCAAUUUUGAAAGUUUAUUUUCAGUCAAAUAUUAGUUAAUUAUUAAAUAGUUAAUUAAUCUAGUUGAACAUUUCCAUUCCAUUUUGUGCAACACAACAGCCUGAGGUGAUCAAGGCAUGUAUUUGUUUAUCUGCCCACACUACUGUUUUGAUUUCACUUGGGCCUCAAUGCUGGUUCAUGUGCAGCCCAUUCUCAUGUCUGCAGAGGCAAAUAAAGAUGGAGUGCAGCAUGGGUUAGGUCUAUAUAGGGUUCACUGGAGUCUGUUAAAGUCUUGAUUUCAGCACAUUUUAUUCCAGACGGUGUGCUUUGCAUUUGCUUUUAAGAGGGACCUUGGUACCUGACCCACUCCAGUGUUAAGAGAAUCAGUAAGACAGGGCAGGCGGCUCUGCCCCCUAUAGUGCCGGGUUAAUGAAGAUUCCAGAGCAUGACACCACCCACUUCCUUACUAUUUCUUCACUUUUGUCUUGCACUGCUUUGUAUCAGAUAAUCCUGCAGACUGAGGCCCAUGUGAAGGUCACUCCUCUUCAAGCCUAUGAAGCAGGGCACUAGAGACAAUAUUGUCUAUUUUUGCAGAAGGUAGGCUAUGCUUCUGUGCUGUUGGCAGAAAUAAUCAGUAAUGCUGCAUUGAUGACAGAGGAUAUACUGUACAUGUUCUGCAGGAAAUAAGAAAUUGCAGUUGAGCUGGGGCCAGGAGUUAAUUGCAACAUGCUGCACAUAUCAGUCGUUCACAGAGAGGCAGAUAUUUCCAAACAUUUAGUCUCCCAGUCAGUGAUGGGGGGAAAAAUGUUCCCAGAAUAUUCCAUUUAUACUUUAAAUACUCAUUACCAUCUGAAUAUAGUUAAUCUGGAGCUAAUUCCAUGCAUUUAUUCACCAAAACAUUUAGCCAACAACACAGUGACUGAAUCAAGAAUAUUCCAGAAAUAAAAUAUCUCCAUUGUGUUUCACUGUAGCUUAGUGCGCGCGCACACAUACACACACACACACACACACACUAGUGCCAUUCAAGGUCAUAACCAAAAUUCAUACGUUGAGACAUCAGCAGAGUUCUGCAUUGCAUUUUUAUAUACCUAACACAGUGAAUUAUAAACAGUGUCUUUUUUAAAAAGCACAGUUGCGAUACAUAUGUAAAAGACAGGUUGUGCAGAUCAUUUGCAUGAUAAUAAUUUCAGUUGCAGCCAAACAGGAUACUGGUGACCUGUGUGUGAACUGCUCAGCAGAUGGUGGUAAGUUGUAUGUGACGUGCCCUAUGUAAUCAGAGGCCUGCAUCAUUAAGGGUCUAAUGUGCCCCAUCCUGUCUUUGUGUGUUCUGGCAAAAGGUCUGCAUUUACAGUCAAAAACAAGCAAAACAAGAAGAUAUUGUUGUAGACAAUAGUGUCAUGAUUGGGCCUUGCCACCACCUCUGUCUCCUUGUUUCCACUGUUUACCAUCCCUGCUGUCUGUGUUUUUUUUGUUUUUUUUGUCUGUUAUGUCCUGUGUAUGGUUGUGGACGUGUCGCUGUGGCUCCCUCUCUCCUGGCUGUUCUUCCGGCAGCAGCUCUUGCCUGUGUCUCAUCCUGCAAUCAACCUCCUCAGUGAAAUACUCCAGCUCUUCACCCUCUCCUCACCAGUUCAUCAGUAAACCUUCAGUGGUAACUACGCUGUGGCCGAUUUGAGAAUCUUGUGAACAGAACUUCGUCAUUGGAAACCCUGUUUGCCUGGCUUUAACUGUUGUCUCUGCCUGCCAGAAUCCCUGCCUGUUUGAGGACGCUGCCUGCCUGCCUUAAAUUGUUUGCUGGAGGACGCAGCCCAUCAAGCCGGAACUUGCCUCGGAACCCUCUCACCUGUCCCACACCCCAGGCCACUUCUUGCUACUCUGAAAUAAAUCUGCCUGAGUUAAGUGCCUCUA